GAUGAACGCUGGCGGCGUGCCUAAUACAUGCAAGUCGAGCGAACGGACGAGAAUCUUGCUUCUCUGAUGUUAUCGGCUGACGUGUUAGUAACACGUGGAUAACCUACCUAUAAGACUGGUAUAACUUCGGGAAACCGUAUCUAAUACCGUAUAAUAUUUUGAACCGCAUGGUUCAAAAGUGAAAGACGGUCUUGCUUUCACUUAUAGAUGGAUCCGCGCUGCAUUAGCUAGUUGGUAAGGUAACGGCUUACCAAGGCAACGAUGCAUAGCCGACCUGAGAGGGUGAUCGGCCACACUGGAACUGAGACACGGUCCAGACUCCGACGGGAGGAAGCAGUAGGGAAUAGUACGCAAUGGGCGAAAGCAUGACGGAGCAAAGCCGCGUGAGUGAUGAAGGUCUUAGGAUCGUAAAACUCUGUUAUUAGGGAAGAACAAAUGUGUAAGUAACUGUGCACAUAUUGACGGUAACUAAUCAGAAAGCAACGGCUAACUACGUG
rnacentral:rRNA from 1 species